rnacentral:rRNA from 1 species
CGAAAAGGGCGUUUGGUGGAUGCCUUGGCAGUAAGAGGCGAUGAAGGACGUGAUACUCUGCGAUAAGCGUAGGUUAGCCGACAAUAGGCUUUGAUCCUGCGAUUUCCGAAUGGGGGAACCCACUUGACAGUUAUUUAUUGUUACCUUUGGUGAUCAAUAAGUGGCUGAACCAAGUACUUCUUACCUGAAUAAAAUAGGGUUUGAAGAGCAAACCCGGGGAACUGAAACAUCUAAGUACCCGGAGGAAAGGACAUCAAUAGAGACUCUGUUAGUAGCGGCGAGCGAACGCGGACCAGCCGAGGUCUGAGAGUGACCAGAACAAUUUGGAAUAAUUGACCAUAGUGGGUGAUAGUCCCGUAUGGGAAGCUCAAUGACACGUAUUAAGUAGGGCGGGACACGUGUAAUC